AAGGCAAAACCUCUCUCUCUGUGCUCUGGUCCUAUUGCUCAGAGAUCCACAGCAUUAAUCCAGGUCUGUAACAGAGGCAGGAUUUGUGCCGAAAUGAUGCCACAAACACUAUCUGCACUGGUCGUGUCAGCUCCCCAACUGAAGCACAGCAAGACAGCAGGUGGAGGCUGAGCCUUUCUUCUCUACGAGAUGCCAUACAAUUAAGGCUCCAGAACACUGCCUGCCGUGGCAGUGUGACAAGGGUUUUCACACAGGGCAUCGGUCUGCAGGGUGCUUGGGAUGCUUCCUCCUGCCAGCCUCCCCUGAGAGAGGUAGGACAACACCUUUCCCUCUCACAAAAGCCCAGCCAAAAAAAAAAAAAAUAUAUGCCUAUCUGCUAAGAAGUUAAAUGGGGACGCCAUCAGCCUACUAGCGGCUUCACUAUUUCUUGCAACAUGUCAUUUUCUUGUCUGAUUUGUCAGAGAGUUUCCUCCUAAAUCCAGACACGUAGCACUGAAUCGUCUGGCUUCUGACUGCCUCCCCAGGCUGGAGGCAGCGUCUGGGUGAGGAGCAUCCAGAGAGUUGCCACCAUGCCCGCUGGCCUCGCUGGGCCAGGGAAGGCUGCGUUAUCGAGGAGGACAGCAGCAAUGCAUCAGGAGGUAUAUUUUUAAAUCUCAGUCCUUUGGGACAGGGAUUAUCCAGUAUGAGUUAAAGCACACUCCCAGCAUUUUCCCAGUAACACACGGUCAGAUGCCAUGGAACUUACAAACAAAUUCACAUGUGCUUUGGAUUGAUACCGUUGCCAUGGCUAUUAGCAAUAAGCAACAAAACUCAGACCCUGAAUUUUGCCCAAGAAAAUGCCAGUGCAUCAAAAUGCAAAUGAUUCAGCCUCCUGCAAAGGUCGUUUGAGGUAAGGGAUAUGUGCAACUUCUGUAUCUCUGCAGAGAAAAUGAUGAAAUCUGAACCACAGCAUGCUUCGAUACUUAGGCAUAUGCUGUGUUGUCACCUCGCUGGCUUCUAGGAGUAUAUUAAGAAGUCUGCUGCCCACUCCUGUAACAUUUCUGAUCUCCUUUAUUUGAGAAGGAGGAUAAGCUCACACUGAAGCAGGAUUUUUUACUCUGUAACACAUCUUUACUCUGUAAUAUUCUGUUUGCCUAGUGAAUACCACCGUGCACGUUCACUCUUCUCCCUAGAGGCACACACUGUUUCUUUACAGGGAAAGACUUCUUCCAAGUAUGCGCAAGCUUGAACCAAAAGGAAAUAUCUUUGCUGGGAACCCUCCUAAAACAUGAUUAAUGUAAAGACAGUGAUAAAUUACAGCCUGGUAUUCCCUGGGUAGAGUUGGUGUCCCUUGGGCAGCUGGUCCAGCUCAGCACAAGCUCUUGUAGAUUAGCAAAGUGGUGAAACAAAACCAGAGACUCUCAGAGCUUCUCAGCCAGAGAACAGAUUCAAUAAAUAUAGAGAAAAAGCAAGAUCUUCCUCCUAG
rnacentral:lncRNA from 1 species